rnacentral:lncRNA from 1 species
UAGGCAGCCAGCAUCACCUUCGGUCCUGGGAGCUGUGACAGAGGGGAAAUGCAGUUACAUCCCCUCAAACUCCGGGCUUUCUGGGGACGUCCUGGUUCAAUGAGAUUCUUCCCCCACAUUUUCCUUCCCGUUGGGAGAAUUCACAAGCCACCACCAGGUCUGGCACUUUCCUUUUUCUUCCUCCUCUGGAAGGAUCUGGAAGGCCCCGAUGUAUUCCUCUGAAGUAGCCUCUUCCAGCUUGUUAGGGACAGACAAGGGGCCACAGGGCACUAAACCCAAAGUGAGGAAAUGAUGGCCUUUAUUCAGAAUUCUCUUUGUGUCUUGGUCAGGUAAUAAUUUCUUAAAAUAACAGCAACAACAAUAAAGAGUGAGCCUGUGACUCUCAGCUACCAAGGGGCCCUUGGAUCCUUCCCGGGUGGGUCUCCAGCCCCGCCAAGACUUUCCCGAGCCUCCGGCCAGGGCCAUGCGCUCACCGGCUGCAGGAUGAACUUACGUCCUUGGAAUUCUGCUCCACGCUUCUAGCCCUCCAGAGCCAAAGAAACCCCAGACAACAGAUGCCCAUACACAGUGUAUAGCAGUAACUCCCCAGCUCUUUUUCUGUGCCAUAGUUUACGGUAUUUAAUUUUAUAUAAUAUAUAUUAUUUAUUAGAGCAUUUUUGAUACCCCAUAUUCUGUUUACACACCUCAAAAACUGCUCAGUGAUUCUCUUGUUUAUUAAAGCACCACUGCUCUAGAGAACGGCAUCUACCGUGGCAACACUGACCACCCGUCCUAUUGCUGCUUCUGGUCCAUUGGUAGAUUACCUAUGGAUGCUUAUCCUGGGCUUCAUCACUGCAUCUGUCCUGGCCUUCUCCGUGGGAGCCAGCGAUGUAGCAGAUUCUUUUGGUUCAGCCGUGGGAUCAGGUGUCCUGAAGCAAGCCUGCAUCCUAGCAGCGUGGGAUGGGCAAAUGCAGUGGGCGAUGAACUUUGGCGUCUUCUGGACGAGGAGCCAGGCUCUCCGCCCGCCACCCUUGAUUGGAGAAAAGAGGCCCUGAUGUCAUCCCCAGCAUCAGCCAUCUGCCUGCCACCAGCACGGGAGGCGUCUCAGCAGCCCCCUCCCAGGGGCCUUCUUUCUCGGCUUACGGAAUGGAGGGAAAAGCGUGAACAUCGAGAAACAGCAGACAAGCGACCCCCAGGCCUAGCGAAGGUGAGCUGUGUGUGUGUGUGCGUGUGUGCGCCCUUCUCUCUGCUGGACCCAUUGGCACCUUUCUCUUCCUCUCCACUCGGCUCCACGUAG